rnacentral:rRNA from 1 species
UACGGAGGGAGCUAGCGUUGUUCGGAUUUACUGGGCGUAAAGGGCGCGUAGGCGGCGUGACAAGUCACUUGUGAAAUCUCCGGGCUUAACUCGGAACGGUCAAGUGAUACUGUCGUGCUAGAGUACAGAAGGGGCAACUGGAAUUCUCGGUGUAGCGGCGAAAUGCGUAGAUAUCGAGAGGAACACCUGCGGCGAAGGCGGGUUGCUGGGCUGAUACUGACGCUGAGGCGCGAAAGCCAGGGGAGCGAACGGG